rnacentral:ncRNA from 1 species
AUCCCUCAGAGACGAUGAGGUGGAUAGGUUCGGCGUGUAAGUGUGGCGACACAUGCAGCGGACGAAUACUAAUCGAUCGAUGACUUAUUCAA